GAUGAACGCUGGCGGCGUGCCUAAUACAUGCCAGUCGAGCGAACAGAUGAGGAGCUUGCUCCUCUGACGUUAGCGGCGGACGGGUGAGUAACACGUGGAUAACCUACCUAUAAGACUGGGAUAACUUCGGGAAACCGGAGCUAGUACCGGAUAAUAUAUUGAACCGCAUGGUUCAAUAGUGAAAGACGGUUUUGCUGUCACUUAUAGAUGGAUCCGCGCCGCAUUAGCUAGUUGGUAAGGUAACGGCCUACCAAGGCAACGAUGCGUAGCCGACCUGAGAGGGUGAUCGGCCACACUGGAACUGAGACACGGUCCAGACUCCUACGGGAGGCAGCAGUAGGGAAUCUUCCGCAAUGGGCGAAAGCCUGACGGAGCAACGCCGCGUGAGUGAUGAAGGUCUUCGGAUCGUAAAACUCUGUUAUUAGGGAAGAACAAAUGUGUAAGUAACUAUGCACGUCUUGACGGUACCUAAUCAGAAAGCCACGGCUAACUACGUG
rnacentral:rRNA from 1 species